UUCUAUAUGGAAUGCUUCACGAAUUUGCCUGUCAUCCUUGCACAGGGGCCAUGCUAAUCUUCUCUGUAUCGUUCCAAUUUUAGUAUAUGUGCUGCCGAAGCGGGCAC
rnacentral:snRNA from 1 species